rnacentral:rRNA from 1 species
UACGUAGGGGGCAAGCGUUGUCCGGAAUCAUUGGGCGUAAAGAGCGUGUAGGCGGCCAGAUAAGUCCGCUGUGAAAUCUCGAGGCUCAACUUCGAGCUGUCGGUGGAAACUGUCGGGCUUGAGUACGGGAGAGGCGAGUGGAAUUCCUGGUGUAGCGGUGAAAUGCGUAGAUAUCUGGAGGAAUACCGGUGGCGAAGGCGGCAUCCUGGACCAUUACUGACGCUGAAUCGCGAAAGCUAGGGGAGCAAACGGG